rnacentral:piRNA from 1 species
UGUUGUACAGGUCCCGGGUGUCUCUCACA